AAAGAGGAACUAACAUAGAUGUAUGGUGUUUUUAACUCAAGUAAUUUUGCUACUUCCUGUGAAGGAUAAGUGUUGCUAUGACGACUGUACAAGUAAUACUCCUUAAUGAGUUUCAGGUCUGAUUUUCAUUGUAAAGGGAGUCAUAAUUUCCUCAUUAAUUUACUCUAUUGAGUAUUUAUUAUCUAUGGAUGACAGGGCAGUCCACCACUUUAGUUCAGACUUAAUUAUCUGUACAUUAUUUCGAUGACCUGUCGUUCAUGUCCUCCUUGAUUUUGAUCUUUGCAUUUAAUCCAGCGCGUUGCAUUCUGGGUACUGGGCGCCAUAUUUUGGGAUACGUUUAAGACGCUCUGGAUGCAUGUUAUUAAGUGUUCAUGAUACACAUCUUCAGACACAACUAAAUAGAAAAAAAAACAGAAUAAUAGAGAAGUAAAAACACGAAUGGACGUUGCGAGUCUGUCUCUGGAUGAAUUGUCAUCAUUUGGGUGUAGCAUCAAGGAGGAACAGGAGACAAAGACUUGAGCUGGACGUGGAGGAGCAGGUAGCAGGAUCAUGAUCCGGCAAAGACUGGAGGGAUCAGCCAGGGUUUCUACGCUGAGGUCGAUGGUCGCGUUGAUUGGGUGGCGAGUUGCAGCUGUUCAGCAUGGAUACCAUCUUCUUACUGAGCCAGCAGCUGCAGGUUGCUCCUCCCGCUGGAGUUCGUGAGUGGGACCAGCAGCACCGGGGUCUUGCUGGUGCAGGAGGCCGAUGUGAGGUGGGAGCGGGUGUUCAUG